rnacentral:misc_RNA from 1 species
AAUGAUCAAGUGAGCGUGGAAGAUUAGUAUAUGUUUAUCUUGCGGAAGGUUCAUGUGGUGAAGCAAGCAAUAGGGAGUGAGAUGGAGAAGGGUAUGCAAACAAGCAGUAGGAAAGAGUGUUUGGUUUGUUAGGUGGCACCCCAGGCUCCUUGGUUCAAGUUGAAUGUUGACAGGGCUUUUCGGGUUGAAUUGGGAGCUACUGCUAGAAGAGGUU